GACGGUCAAAUCAGGGUGAAACACCAGUUCUUGUUUGAUCACUAAAGUUAAGCAAUGUGGAGCUCGAUCAGUACUUAGAUGAGGGACAGCUUAGGAACACCGUGUACUGUAAG